rnacentral:rRNA from 1 species
AGUGAACGCUGGCGGUAGGCCUAACACAUGCAAGUCGAACGGCAGCACAGUAAGAGCUUGCUCUUACGGGUGGCGAGUGGCGGACGGGUGAGGAAUACAUCGGAAUCUACUUUUUCGUGGGGGAUAACGUAGGGAAACUUACGCUAAUACCGCAUACGACCUACGGGUGAAAGCAGGGGAUCUUCGGACCUUGCGCGAUUGAAUGAGCCGAUGUCGGAUUAGCUAGUUGGCGGGGUAAAGGCCCACCAAGGCGACGAUCCGUAGCUGGUCUGAGAGGAUGAUCAGACACACUGGAACUGAGACACGGUCCAGACUCCUACGGGAGGCAGCAGUGGGGAAUAUUGGACAAUGGGCGCAAGCCUGAUCCAGCCAUACCGCGUGGGUGAAGAAGGCCUUCGGGUUGUAAAGCCCUUUUGUUGGGAAAGAAAAGCAGAAGGUUAAUACCCCGCUGUUCUGACGGUACCAAAAGAAUAAGCACCGGCUAACUUCGUG